rnacentral:rRNA from 1 species
UACAGAGGGUGCGAGCGUUAAUCGGAAUUACUGGGCGUAAAGCGCAUGUAGGCGGCUUGGUAUGUCGGGUGUGAAAUCCCCGGGCUCAACCUGGGAACUGCAUCCGAAACUGCCUUGCUAGAGUAUGGGAGAGGGAAGCGGAAUUUCCGGUGUAGCGGUGAAAUGCGUAGAUAUCGGAAGGAACAUCAGUGGCGAAGGCGGCUUCCUGGACCAAUACUGACGCUCAGGUGCGAAAGCGCGGGGAGCAAACAGG